GAACCUCAGAUCAGGUAGGGAUACCCGCUGAACUUAA
rnacentral:rRNA from 1 species